CAAGGAUGAACUGUGGUUUGUUUUUUUGCUCAAAUCUAAAAAUUGAAGUUAGUUUAGCAGUUGACUGUUGCAGUCAUUUGGAUGUUUUGCAUGCAUUUCACUAGGAAGACUAAGAGCUAAGACUUUUUUAUUGCCAUUGCCUUGACUGUCUUGAUGUUGUUUUGCACCAUGUCCUUGUGUUGACUUUUGCAUACGAUAUUUUUCAGGCACCCGGUUUAUAUAACGCAAGAAGGCAGCUGCAAGGACACGAGGAUGUGAAAGAGCCAGUGCAGCGCGACUUCACGUAGUGUAGAGGAGCCAAUGCCAAAAAAUCAAAAUACAUUGGCAUGUUAUUUGGACAAGAAAACUAGUAUGUGGGUAUAUUGGGUGUACCAUUUGACCAAAUGUCAACAAAAUCAAGAUACAGUAUGUUACACGAAGAUGAAAAUUCUCACGUGCUCCAGGCAGUCAUCUUAACAUGGUAUAUUUAUGUAAUGUCUCUGAUUGGAAAGUCAAAUCAAGUAUGCUCACUGGAGACAAACACAUAGCAGCAAGUGUCAUUGAAAAGUUAAAAAUGUGUUUUAAGAAAGCUGAUUAGUUCUGAGAAGUGACUGCUUUUUGUCUUGCCUCUCAACACAUAUAUCCAUGUGAUAAAAAAAUAGUGGCACAAUGAAAUUGCAUAUUUGCUUAGCGACAUGAUACAUACUUGCAAUAAGCACGGUGCCUGUGUUUACUAUAGAAAGCAACAGCCCAUGCUUGGUUAGGUUAGGCCCACUACAACAUGCAGGCAUGGGUGAUUGGCGCUUUUUUUAUUUCUGUAUCGUGAGGUUUAUUGACGUGCGUAUAGGUGCAGUGGCACGCAGUAUGGCUAGUACAAAAAAGGGGGGGGGGGGCAGAUAUAUGUAGCUCACUGUACACGAUACAGGGCAAAGGAAAUCCGUGUUCAGCAACUAUGUUAAAUGCCAUGUACGUAAAUUCUACAACGCUACUCGUUCGAAGCGCGCACAGGUGCAUAUUGAAGAAAAGUUUCCAGGGUAGAUAAUUUAGUUCGUAAUUUACACUAAUUUUGCUCUAACCACGAGACAUAAUAAUUUGAAUAUACUGCACGGAAAAACCUAGAGCGAAAUAAAUUGUGUGUCAGCUUCGUGUGUAUACAUAUAGUCUUCCCUAUGCAUUAGGUUUUUUGCGUAAUGCAUUAACAGUUGACAGCCUAUCUUAUGAUGUGUACUCUGUUUACAUUACAGUUGUUUAUUAGUUUACUCGUUUGUUUUGCGACUGAUGAAAUGCCGGCAUAUAUAUAUUUUCAACAUUUGACAUAACCCUGUAUGUUUUGCAGGGACAACCCAGGACGUGCAUUUCUCAGCACCCAGUCAACUGCCAAAAGUGACUCAAACACAGGCCACCAGAGACAAUGCCUACGAAAUUAUUGGCCCUGAUCAUGAGAGCCCUCAAGGGGCAAACAACAUCUCUGUUGCAGAAGUGAGCCCGGUACCACUUGGAAGUUACCAUGACAGAUGACACGGCAGCAAUAGAUACAGAGACUGCCACGUCUACUGCAGCAGCAACAGUGUACGAGGCAAGCAGCAGCGCGUCAGCAGCAGUGUCAGAAGGAACCACACCAGGCCUGGUAGAGCAACAUGUGUGCUAUCACUGACUUUUUUUGUAGUGGAUACAACUCAUUUGCUCAACAUACAAAAGCUUUUCACCACGACUGUGAGCCAGUGUUAUUGUGCAGCAAGUGCAAGACUAAGUUAAGUGUUAUAGCACAGUACAAGCAUCACUUUAACAUACGAAAACAUAUUACAGUUGUUGCCUCCCCAGCCAGCCCACAUAGCCACAACAAUGUUGAACACAUGGUGGGACACACAUCUUCUCCAUUAGAAGAUAGUAGAGACUGUCAGUGUUGUUGUUAGAUUAACUGGUCUUUGUAGGCAACUAGGACAACACAGGUGUCAUAAGAUUGUUGUUGAUGUUGUUGUUGAAGAGGUAAAAAAGAAGUUUGAUGCAGCUGAAGUGCCAACUGAUAUUGAGCAAAUCAAAAGCAACCACCUGAGAAAGCAACACUAUCAAAAUUUGGGUAUCUAUGUGCCGCCAACUCUGGUAAGAAUGGCAUAGGACAGAAGUGUGAUGAAAAUCACACAGACACUGCUGUUGCAUCACUGGCCACAGUGAGCAGCGACUUGUAGGGCAAGAGAGUCAACUGAAACUAACAUUAUGAUAUAGUGUCAUGCUCCCAUGUGACCACUUUUCAAGUUAUUUUGCAAGAUACAGCUCAACCUCCAGAAACGAGACUGCAAGUUGUCUGUAAAAAAGCUUUCACAAAAAAUUAUUCAUAACACCAUUAACAUAGCAGUAUCUUUUUUUUUGUGUCUGUUCGAGGUUCCCGGCUGUCCAUUAAUGCAAAAAUUGAGGAAAAAAAGAACAUGUGUCGUACUUACACCUUUUUAACAAGUACGAGGGGGACAGAACUUUUCUAGUCAUGCAUCUUCAUCAUACUAUCAAGUUUUUAAAUGCCUUUUAUAAUUAUUAUUACCAGUUAUAUCUGAGUGCAUUGUAUGCAUGUAGCAGGUGUAAAAUCAGGUCAGUUGGAUCAGAUGCCUUAUCUGCAAGCGAGCCCUAUAUUCAAGAAAUUUGAAAUAAAAUAGUUACGUUAGAGACGCAGUCUUUCAGCACUUUAUUGCCUGUGGUUUAAGCAUUGCUCAAUACUUUUGUGGGUGGCAAUUUCAACCGGCACAGCACUGCGCUUUGCCACAGUCACAUUUGUCUUCAAAGCGGUGUUUACCAUUUGUGUUGAUCUGUUUGUGUAUGCAUAGAACAAGUUUUUAAUUUAUAUUUUUCUGCAUUCUUGUGCUUGCACUAAGCUUGUAUAAGGCAGUUACAGAAUGUGCGGCACUAUAACGAACUGUUCUGUUGAGCUUACACUUGCAAAUAAUCGUGUUCAGAUGGCCGCACUUCUAUGCGGGUGCACUGCUAGCUUUGUGUAUGUUCUCAUGUUUGUAUAAAGCUUAUAUAAGCUAGUUAGAAAAUGUAUGUCACUAAGCAUUGUGAUAUUCUUUAAAGAACUGCUUGGUUGGUUUUACACUUGUGAAUUAGUAUUGAGGCGGUGGUAUUCCCAUGUAUGCCCACUGCUAGCUUUCUGUGUCCUCACGUGUUUGUAUUAAGUUUCUACAAGGGAGUUACAGCAUGUACGUCACUAAGCGCUGUGAUAUUUUUUAAAGAACUGCUUUGUUGGUUUUACACCUGUGAGUAAAAGUACUCGUGUGGCACUAGUCAUGUGUAGGUACACAGGGACCAUUUGUAUACAUUAUGCUCAUGUAAAGCAGUUACAAAGUGUAUGUCACUAAUUACUGUGAUAUUUGUUGAAUUGCUGUGAUGGUUUUACACAUGUGAAUAAUAGUGGUCAGGACACAGUACUUGCGGUGUAUAGUUGAAUUUAUACACUGCCAAGACAUGGUCUGUAUACGUACCAAAAGAAAUGUAUGUCAUUAUAUUGUUGUGAUUAUUACUGUUUGGAUUUUAUUAAACUGUAAUAAAAUUGUUUCUUGUA